AUCAGCAGUCAUUUCCGUGAUAGAGUGUGGCUGGCACCUGGGAGUGCCCUACAGGACAUCCUCCAAAACCUGGUGGCUAAUACACGUUCGCGCGGGUCUGCCACGCUACAACCCUGCUGUGACCCCUGUGGCCCGUCCAUCGGGAUGCCCACACAGGUGGAAGAUCGCACCCGGUCGCUGGUGAAGACCAGCGCCCGGUCAACGGCAGUUGUGCGUGGUUGACUCAGGCCGGUCCCUCCGCGGGACGCCGGCGUUGGCAGAGUGAUGUGGCUCCGGCCACAAGCAUGCUUGAUCACACAAACUUCUGACCUAUCAGCUCAGGACUGUGGCGUAGUGGCCCACAGUGGCGGCAACGGGUAACGGAGAAUUUGGGUUUGAUUCCGGAGAGGGAGCCUGAGAAACGGCUGCCACUACCAAGGUGGGCAGCAGGCACGCAAAUUGCCCAAUACAGGAGCACUCUUGUGAGGCAGCGACGAGCAGUAGCAAUCCCGCCAGCAUUAUCGCUGGUGGGACUUGGAAUGGAUGCAAUCCAAACACC
rnacentral:rRNA from 1 species